AAAGGGGCGGCAUACCAUGUCAGUCGUACGGGGUGACGUAAGCUUGCUGGUAUCGGUCGAGCGGCGGAUGGGUGAGCCUACUUAAGAAUCCCCCUACUACUGGGGGAUAGCUCGAGGAAACUCCAAUUAAUACCGCAGACGACCUACGGGAGAAAGGGGGCAGUUUACUGCUCUCGCUAUUAGAUGAGCAUAAGUCGGAUAACUUGAUGGUGGGGUAAAGGCCUACCAUGGCGACGAUCUGUAGCUGGUCUGAGAGGAUGAUCACCCACACCGGGACUGAGACACGGCCCGGACUCCUACGGGAGGCAGCGGUGGGGAAUAUUGGACGAUGGGGGAAACCCUGAUCCAACCCUGCCGCGUGUGUGAAGAAGGCCUUUUGGUUGUAAAGCACUUUAAGCAGUGAAGAAUACUCCUCGGUUAAUACCCGUGGACGAUGACAUUAGCUGCAGAAUAAGCACCGGCUAACUCUGUGCCAGCAGCCGCGGUAAUACAGAGGGUGCAAGCGUUAAUCGGAAUUACUGGGCGUAAAGCGAGCGUAGGUGGCUUGAUAAUUCAGAUGUGAAAUCCCCGGGCUUAACCUGGGAACUGCAUCUGAAACGUUAGGCUAGAGUAGGUGAGAGGAAGGUAGAAUUCCAGGUGUAGCGGUGAAAUGCGUAGAGAUCUGGAGGAAUACCGAUGGCGAAGGCAGCCUUCUGGCAUCAUACUGACACUGAGGCUCGAAAGCGUGGGUAGCAAACAGGAUUAGAUACCCUGGUAGUCCACGCCGUAAACGAUGUCUACUAUUCGUUGGGUCCCUUGAGGACUUAGUGACGCAGCUAACGCAAUAAGUAGACCGCCUGGGGAGUACGGCCGCAAGGUUAAACUCAAAUGAAUUGACGGGGGCCCGCACAAGCGGUGGAGCAUGUGGUUUAAUUCGAUGCACGCGAAAACCUUACUGGUCUUGACAUAUCUAGUAUCCUGCAGAGAUGCGGGAGUGCCUUCGGGAGUAGAUACAGUGCUGCAUGCUGUCGUCAGCUCGUGUCGUGAGAUGUGGGUCAGUCCUGCACGAGCGCAACCCUGUCGUAGUUACCAGCGGGAUAAGCGGACUCUAGAUACUGCAUGACAACUGGAGGAGCGGGACGACGUCAGUCGUCAUGCCUUACAACAGGGCUCCACCUGCUCCAUGUAGGUACAAGGGCGCUUCCCGCGAUGUGUGCAUCUCAAGGCCUUUCGUAUUCCCAAUGGAGUUGCACUCGACUCUGAAUGAAUCCUUGAAUCGGUAUCGCAUUGCUGCGUGUAUACAUUUCCCGGCCGCUGCUUUAC
rnacentral:rRNA from 1 species